GGGACAAUAAUGAUAUUCAUUAAGAACAAUAAAUUAAGACUUGAAUACAAGCUUGGUGUCUCCUAAAGUUAGAACUAAAACUGAUCUUCUAUCUCUAACAUCCAGGAAUCUCUUGUUGUCUCCAAAUCUCUCCCUAACCUGAAGACCCUACAAUAAAUUGUAAAUAUUAAUAGGGCUAUCAGUAUCCAAUACUUAAGUCAUUGUAUCAAAAAGAGAAAAGUUACAAGAUGUUAUCACAUAAGUACCUUGUCCAGCAACCGAUUACUUCUUCUUCUUCGACCUAUUUGGGUUGAGGGAAGCUACAUACUGAGGAUAGUUCCUCUUCCAGUAACCCUGUUUCUUAUAGUAGAAGCACUCUAUCUGAC
rnacentral:lncRNA from 1 species